AUGCUUAACACAUGCAAGUCGAACGGUAACAGAUAAGAUGAUCUCUUCGGAGUGAAUCUUUGCUGACGAGUGGCGGACGGGUGAGUAAUGCUUGGGAAUCUGCCCAAUAGUGGGGGAAAACUCGGGGAAACCCGGGCUAAUACCGCAUAAUCUCUACGGAGGAAAGAGGGCCUCUACUUGUAAGCUCUCGCUAAUGGAUGAGCCCAAGUCAGAUUAGCUAGUUGGUAAGGUAAAGGCUUACCAAGGCUACGAUCUGUAGCUGGUCUGAGAGGAUGAUCAGCCACACUGGGACUGAGACACGGCCCAGACUCCUACGGGAGGCAGCAGUGGGGAAUAUUGCACAAUGGGCGCAAGCCUGAUGCAGCAAUGCCGCGUGUGUGAAGAAGGCUCUAGGGUUGUAAAGCACUUUCAAUAGAGAAGAAAAGCUUGAAAUUAAUACCUUCAAGCCUUGACGUAAUCUAUACAAGAAGCACCGGCUAAUUCCGUGCCAGCAGCCGCGGUAAUACGGGAGGUGCGAGCGUUAAUCGGAAUUACUGGGCGUAAAGCGAGCGUAGGCUGUUAAUUAAGUCGAAUGUGAAAUCCCCGGGCUCAACCUGGGAACUGCAUCCGAAACUAUUUAACUAGAGUAUGGGAGAGGAAAGUAGAAUUUCCGGUGUAGCGGUGAAAUGCGUAGAUAUCUGAAGGAACACCAGUGG
rnacentral:rRNA from 1 species